rnacentral:lncRNA from 1 species
CUGGGGGAGCAUGUGAAUUAAGCCUGAGCCAGUCAUUCACUUGCAUUUCCCUGCCCCAGUCUCUGUUUGUUAAGAUCAAACUGAAUUUCUAGCUCCCACAUCUGCAAAGGGAAUUCUGAAAAGGUGAAGUGUGUUGCCUGAAAGCAAAGAAACUAGAAAGAAAAGGAAACGUUUAACUGAUGAUUCUGAAUAGACAUUAUUUGUGCUUGUUUGAGUUUUGCAACUGGGGCAAGCUGUGCUUGAGAGCCAUUUUGUUAUGUGGAAUGUUUCUGAACGAUGAACUGAUGAUGUAGGUUUGACAACCAAAAGAGAUGUCUCAGGGCUGAAACCUCAGGCUAAACUGGCUGCUUGGUGGGUGAGGGAUUUUGCAUUUGGUAACACGUAUAAACUGUGUGCUUAAACACAAGGGUACCAUGCUGGUGGGCAGUGGACGGGAGAUGCUGGUACCAAGUACAGAGCCAAAGGAGUCUGGCAGGCCUUCCAGCACUGAACUUCAGGCUGUCUUCUAAAAAGUCCUUGGAGUGUGCUGGAGAUGCACAGCUGCAAGCAGCAGGGGAAAACACUGCAGAUUGUGCUGAAAGGCACAGGCUGGCUGUACCCUGGGCAGUUCUCUGGAAAGGGCCAGUAGCUGCCAUAUCACGGACUGGCCAGGAUCUCCACUACCUCAGACCAGUCUCUGGAAGCACAUCCCUCUGAAAGGUAAAAAGCCACAUCUGGAGCCCAACCCUUGCACAUGGACAUGGGGAGCAAUACUGGCUCUCCUAAAUUAGCACCAUUCCACCAGCUCCAUUGCAAGAAAAUGCUGAGGAUACUUAUUUUUAAGCCAAAUCAAAUUAAAAACAAUAAAAAAGGAAGUGGUUAAGGGCA